rnacentral:rRNA from 1 species
UACGGAGGAUCCAAGCGUUAUCCGGCUUUAUUGGGUUUAAAGGGUGCGCCGGCGGAAGAUUAAGUCGGCGGUGAACUUUUGCAGCUCAACUGGAAAAGUGCCAUCGAUACUGGUUUUCUUGAGUGUGGAUGAAGUAGGCGGAAUUUGUGGUGUAGCGGUGAAAUGCAUAGAUAUCACGAGGAACUCCGAUUGCGAAGGCAGCUUACUAAACCAUAACUGACGCUCAGGCACGAAGGCGUGGGGAUCAAACAGG